GAUGAAGAACGUAGCGAAAUGCGAUACGUAAUGUGAAUUGCAGAAUUCAGUGAAUCAUCGAAUCUUUGAACGCAUAUUGCGCUCUCUGGUAUUCCGGAGAGCAUGCUUGUUUGAGUAUCAGUAAACACCUCAACUUCCAUAUCUUUUUUGAAAUGGGAGUUGGACUUGAGUGAUCCCAACGCUUUUCCUCACCGAAAAGUGGCGGGUUACUUGAAAUGCAGGUGCAGCUGGACUUUUCUCUGAGCUAUAAGCAUAUCUAUUUAGUCUGCCUAAAAAACAGAUUAUUACCUUUGCUGCAGCUAACAUAAAGGAGAUUAGUUCUUGUGCUGACUGAUGCAGGAUUCACAAAGAUAGGCUUCGGCCGACUUUGUAAACUCGAUCUCAAAUCAAGUAAGACUACCCGCUGAACUUAAGCAUAUCAAUAAGCGGAGGA
rnacentral:misc_RNA from 1 species